UAAACAUUAUAGCUAACAAUGUAUUGAACUGAAUGAUUUACAUUGUUUAAACAGUUCAUAUUUCCUCUGAAGCCAGAGGGAAUUCUGGUGGAAUCCGAAACGAUUCUGACUUGCAAAUCGAUCAUCUGACUUUGGUAUAGGGGCAAAAGAUUAAUUAUUCCCUCUGAAGUUUCCUAAGGAAAACUGGAGUACGUAAUAAAGCAGUUAUAUUCGGUAAAGAGAAUGAUUAGAGGAAUUGUGGGAUGAAAUAUCUUCAAUCUAUUCUCAAAUUUUUAAUGAGUAUGACAUUUUGCUUGCUUUAAUGAGGCGUAAGUAUUACAUGUGUGUUCCAACUGUCCAUUUUUGAUAGCAGAACUGGCGCGUAGAAUUAAAAUUGCGAAAAAUCUGUUAGUUUAUAGUUUGGUUUGUGAUUUGAUUAGAUUGGAGAUCAUCUUGCUGUUGUGAUUCCGCUAGGUCAACAAAAACCUUUAUUUGGUUUAA
rnacentral:ncRNA from 1 species